GUGCUCACUUCUUCAGCAGCACAUAUACUAAAAUUGGAACGAUAUACAGAAGAUUAGCAUGGCCCCUGAGCAAGGAUGACACACAAAUUCUUGAAGCGUUCUGUACUUCU
rnacentral:snRNA from 1 species